UCCAAAUUUUGUUUGGAAAAU
rnacentral:piRNA from 1 species